ACCUGCUGGCCCCGCCCCCCAUCCUGCGGCCAAUCAUUGCCACCAACACCUACCAGCAGGUCAGCAGCGACAGCCUUGGAGGAGCCUCAGGAUUGCUCCCUGCAGUGAUCCCUGCUCCAGCCUUGGAAUACAGAGCAAAAACCCAGGGAAUGCUCCGUGCCUGCAGCUCUCCCGCUCUGGGCUGUGCCACCUCCACACAGCUUCUCCUGGGAAGUUCUCUGCAGCCCAGCACAGGAGGAUCCAGCUCUGCUCGCGGCCCUCUGCUCCUGGAGUCGUCGAGGAGCAGCUGCAACAAUUCCCCGAGUCCCAUUCCCGCCUUU